UUUUAAAUUAGGCAAAUGAGCAAGGGCAAUGUUCAUUUCUUUCCCUUUCAUUUUGAAAACGUGUGGCGUGCCAAAAGGCAGUUGGACGGAAUGUUCAGAGGCCACAUAAUAGAACAACAGAGGCUGCCAAGCUCCGAAAUCACAAACCAGACAAGACAAUCUCAGCUCUCGGGACGUAGAGACCCCUGGUCAGCACCAUGAGUCCCCAGCAAGUGACAAGAUGGACCACCACCCACAGUUCCAGCAGGAAAGGAUGCCUCUACCUUGAGAUUCGACAUCCUCCAUCUCAACAGGGUCCCCGAGGUUUUCCUGACUCCAAGGACACUGCAGAUUCCCAGCUCAUAACAAAUGAUGUUCAUGCACAUGCCAGCCCUUUCUUUCUAUGAGGCAAUCCUCAGAGGCCUUUGCCAAGAUAAACUGUUUGGCCUUCUGCCUUGAAAGUCGAUCCUCUUCUGCGUCUGAUUAUUGCUUUUCUGAAACACAGGGACAAUGACAUCAUUGCUCCCUCCCUGGUUUGGGGAUUUGAUGGUCAGCAUGAAGUCAGGGUUUGGAAUGGUGCCUGCUCUUUGCCAAUGUCCACGGGCGGGGGUGGCCUGGAGUAAAGCAAGCUCGUGAGGGGGAGGUGGGUGCCGUGAGGUCCCCAGGGGCUGGGGGUUGGGGGCAGAUUCGCUUUUCAUUCUGUUGCCAGCAUCCGGGUCUGCCUUGUUGUAUAUGGGAUAGGCAGUAUUCUGAUGAGGGCUGAGCUGACAUUCAAUGGAUACACACCUGCCUGGCUGUACCCAUUAUUACAAUGGUUAAAUACCUUCGUUCCCAUUGGUAGUCAUUUGUGGGGUGCCUUCCCACCACCUCAGCUUCUCUGGCCUCUCCCUGGGCCAACAUCCUAGAAUUCCCACCAUCUAGCACCUCCAGGGACCUAUCCAGUAGCCCUCUGAUGGUCGAUGCCUGUGCCACACUGUAGGUAAAAUAUGCUUACUACUCCUCACAGAGGGAUGGGAGAACUUUGGCUGGUCUGUUGGCUAGAUGCCUGCAGGAGGCCAUUGCCAUGUGAGUUAGG
rnacentral:lncRNA from 1 species